rnacentral:miRNA from 1 species
UCCCCCAGGCGUGAUUCUGAUUU